UAAUACGAAGGGUGCUAGCGUUGUUCGGAAUCACUGGGCGUAAAGCGCGCGUAGGCGGCUUUUCAAGUCAGAGGUGAAAUCCCCAGGCUCAACCUGGGAAUUGCCUUUGAAACUGUAAAGCUGGAGUAUUGGAGGGGAUAGCGGAAUUGCUAAUGUAGAGGUGAAAUUCGUAGAUAUUAGCAGGAACACCGGUGGCGAAGGCGGCUAUCUGGACAAUUACUGACGCUGAAGUGCGAAAGCGUGGGGAUCAAACAGG
rnacentral:rRNA from 1 species